UGGGGAAUUUUGGACAAUGGGGGCAACCCUGAUCCAGCGACGCCGCGUGAAGGAUGAAGGUCUUCGGAUUGUAAACUUCUUUUAGAGGGGAUGAAUGUCUGCGUGAAUAACGCAGAGUGACAGUACCCUUUGAAUAAGCCACGGCUAACUACGUGCCAGCAGCCGCGGUAAUACGUAGGUGGCAAGCGUUACCCGGAAUCACUAGGCGUAAAGCGCAGGUAGGAGGUUUGAUAAGUCUGUUGUGAAAGCUCCCGGCUUAACUGGGAGAGGUCAACGGAAACUGUCAGGCUAGAGUGCGGUAGAGGUAGCUGGAAUUCCCGGUGUAGCGGUGAAAUGCGUAGAUAUCGGGAGGAAUACCUAUGGCGAAAGCAGGCUACUGGACCGUCACUGACUCUGAUCUGCGAAAGCUAGGGGAGCAAACAGG
rnacentral:rRNA from 1 species